UCUGCUCGAUCGACCGCGCCUCCUCCUCGAUCCUUGUGUGCCCUGUCGAAGGCUACCUUGUGGCUGUCGUUGGUGGGUAGGUGCGCUGCUUUGGGAUGAAGCUGGUCCUUGACUUUCGCUGAUGGCUUGUCUCGGGUUUCCAUUUCCACCCCUCCAGGUGGGUUCAUUGUCCACUGUCUCCCAAGAUUAUUCCCUGCUGCCAUCGCUGCCAGUUGGUGAGCUAAUUUGUUGCCAUCCCUUGGAGUCCAGGUAGCUUCCACAUCUGGAGCCUCGUCUAGCAGUUG